UACGAAGGGGGCUAGCGUUGUUCGGAAUUACUGGGCGUAAAGCGCACGUAGGCGGACAUUUAAGUCAGGGGUGAAAUCCCAGAGCUCAACUCUGGAACUGCCUUUGAUACUGGGUGUCUUGAGUAUGGAAGAGGUGAGUGAAUUCCGGAGUGUAGAGGUGAAAUUCGUAGAUAUUCGGAGGAACACCAGUGGCGAAGGCGGCUCACUGGUCCAUUACUGACGCUGAGGUGCGAAAGCGUGGGAGCAAACAGGGAUUAAGAAACCCUGG
rnacentral:rRNA from 1 species